rnacentral:lncRNA from 1 species
UGGCUCUCACCGAUGCUGCAGGAGCUUCAGCAGGAGGUCAUUGCCUCGGUUGGACAUGAUGUCCUCAGGAACCCUGGGGGUGAGAAGAAUGUACCCUGGAGGGGCUGGAGGCACCUAUGACAGGCAGAGAAGGUGUAGAAGGAAGGGAUGGUAGGAGAGGUUGUUCUCUCCAGAAGACGGAUGUGUACAAUGAGAUCUACCUCCUCCUCUCCUG